rnacentral:rRNA from 1 species
AGUGAACGCUGGCGGUAGGCCUAACACAUGCAAGUCGAACGGCAGCACAGUAAGAGCUUGCUCUUACGGGUGGCGAGUGGCGGACGGGUGAGGAAUACAUCGGAAUCUACUUUUUCGUGGGGGAUAACGCAGGGAAACUUACGCUAAUACCGCAUACGACCUACGGGUGAAAGCAGGGGAUCUUCGGACCUUGCGCGAUUGAAUGAGCCGAUGUCGGAUUAGCUAGUUGGCGGGGUAAAGGCCCACCAAGGCGACGAUCCGUAGCUGGUCUGAGAGGAUGAUCAGCCACACUGGAACUGAGACACGGUCCAGACUCCUACGGGAGGCAGCAGUGGGGAAUAUUGGACAAUGGGCGCAAGCCUGAUCCAGCAAUACCGCGUGGGUGAAGAAGGCCUUCGGGUUGUAAAGCCCUUUUGUUGGGAAAGAAAAGCAGCAGGUUAAUACCCCGCUGUUCUGACGGUACCCAAAGAAUAAGCACCGGCUAACUUCGUG